rnacentral:misc_RNA from 1 species
AACCUAGCACACCUGCGGUGUGUACCUGCGGAAGGAUCAUUACCGAGUUUACAACUCCCAAACCCCUGUGAACAUACCUAUACGUUGCCUCGGCGGAUCAGCCCGCGCCCCGUAAAAAGGGACGGCCCGCCCGAGGACCCCUAAACUCUGUUUUUAGUGGAACUUCUGAGUAAAACAAACAAAUAAAUCAAAACUUUUAACAACGGAUCU